rnacentral:ncRNA from 1 species
AGCUCCAUUGUUCCCUAGGAUUGGCUUUGGGCCUUUACUGUGUAGCUUAGGUUACAGGCGAAGAAGGCCUCCUUCUGGGCCGGGGGGAGGGAGGCUCGUGGCAUCACUAAGAUACUGUUAUGGAAGGGCUAGAAUUCUAACCUUGUGCCAGGACUUGGGGGUCAAGGGACAGUGAUCUCAUGUAGACAGUUUCUACGGAGCGUAAGUAACGGAGGCGUGCAAAGGUUUCCUCGGGCCAGACGUACAGAGAUAUGCCCUGGAGUGUGAAAGCGGGCGGGAGCUUGAAUGCAAGACCUACCUGUCGAAUAGGGGAAAGUCGGCCUUAGUGAUCCUAAAGUGCCGAGUGGAAGGAUGGAAUAAAUAGAGAUA